CAGUCGCCACGGUAAUACGUAGGUGGCAAGCGUUGUCCGGAAUUAUUGGGCGUAAAGGGCUCGCAGGCGGUUUCUUAAGUCUGAUGUGAAAGCCCCCGGCUCAACCGGGGAGGGUCAUUGGAAACUGGGAAACUUGAGUGCAGAAGAGGAGAGUGGAAUUCCACGUGUAGCGGUGAAAUGCGUAGAGAUGUGGAGGAACGCCAGUGGCGAAGGCGACUCUCUGGUCUGUAACUGACGCUGAGGAGCGAAAGCGUGGGGAGCGAACAGGAUUAGAUACCCCUGUAGUCCCUGUCUCUUAUAC
rnacentral:rRNA from 1 species